GAGAGUUAAACAGUACGUGAAAUUGUUGAAAGGGAAACGAUUGAAGUCAGUCAUACCAACGGGAAAUCAACCUUUUGAGCUUGGUCUCGUGGGUUUUGAAGAGUUUCAAAGCCUUCGGAUUCGCGGGAUUGGGAUCUCUCGGUGUACUUUCUCGUACGGUUAGUCAACAUCGGUUUUGAAUGUCAUAAAAUGACUGGAGGAAUGUAGCUUCGAUCUCGUAUUGAAGUGUUAUAGCCUUUGGUAGAUGUGAUGUUUGAGACCGAGGAUUGCAACGGAUACCCUUCAGGGCUAUUCGUCUGAUCUCUGAUACGUUGCCCUGAUGUUGAAAGCUUGCUUAUGAUGUUAGGGUAUUACGGUCAAAAGGUUAGAACGAAUUACAUUCGUUAAGGAUGUUGACGUAAUGACUUUAAACGA
rnacentral:rRNA from 1 species